rnacentral:rRNA from 1 species
GACGAACGCUGGCGGCGUGCUUAACACAUGCAAGUCAAGGGGGCCCGCAAGGGUAACCGGCGAACGGGUGCGUAACACGUGAGCAAUCUGCCUCGAUGUGGGGGAUAGCCGGCCCAACGGCCGGGUAAUACCGCAUACGCUCUCUGGGUGGCAUCACUUGGAGAGGAAACAUUUUUGGCAUUGAGAGGAGCUCGCGGCCUAUCAGCUAGUUGGUGGGGUAAUGGCCUACCAAGGCUUUGACGGGUAGCUGGUCUGGGAGGAUGGCCAGCCACAUUGGGACUGAGAUACGGCCCAGACUCCUACGGGAGGCAGCAGUGGGGAAUAUUGCGCAAUGGCCGAAAGGCUGACGCAGCGACGCCGCGUGGGGGAUGAAGCAUUUCGGUGUGUAAACCCCUGUUGCCCGGGACGAACAACUGGUUUUGACCAGUCUGACGGUACCGGGUGAGGAAGCACCGGCUAACUCCGUGCCAGCAGCCGCGGUAA